GGCAAAAGGAAAGAGAAACAGAGCUUUAAAAUAUGAAAUAUUUGGAAAGUACAAGAGGAAAUCCUAUCUCCCUAAGGAAGAAUCUCCACUUCCAUACAAACUGUCAGGAAACAGGGAAAGUUAGUAAUCAUCUGCGGGACUGGAUGGAGAGAAGAGAUUUGAGCAAGGUAAAAAGUCAAGAAUUCGUGGUUUAGGAUUCAAAAACCAGGUGCGAUAGCUGCAGCGAUCCGGAGAGACCGCGAUUCCUUCCUCCGAUUGAAAACUGAGAGGAUUCCCAUCCGCGCCUCUUCUGGGAAUUUCAGUUUGCUCCCCGGUUUUGAAGGAGAACUACAACGGGCACAGAGCCAGGUGAAGUCAGUGAGCCAAACCAGGCCAAGGCUGCGUGCACAGUUACGUUAAAGACGUUCUCGAUCUGCGUCGCGCAGAACACCUGAUAUUGCGCGAGGCAAGAAGGAAGUAAAGCGGGAAUGAAAGUCUAACUGGACCCGGAAGGCUGGUGGGCAGCCAGCCUCUGCCAGCGCGUCAAGCAUUCGCCUCCCAUGUUGCCAUAUUAUAUUUCCUAUAUGGCGUCACACAUGUCUCUUCUCACUAUAAAAUCAGCUUAUUUUGUAUCUCACCACUGUGCAUGCUAUUCUGGCCUGCCCUGGCCAGGAAAGGCGACUCUCCUCACCAUCCAGUUUAGCAUCACAUGCAGAUUAAAAACCGGUUGAGAACCACAAAAUAAACAUUUUGUGAUGUU